CUCUGCUUAUGCUUUCCCAGGCCUGUAGUCCUUGUUCAUCAGAAUCCGGAGGGGGUAGUGCACAGCUCAGAAAGUCCUUUAAUGAGGGGCUGCUUGUUUUAUGACAUCUUGCACCCUCAGCAUCAGUAGCUGUAAGGACUGAAAGUCUCUCUUGCUGUUGCUUCACAGAGAAUCAGUAAGCAUGACUUUCAAGGAAGUGCUAACCCAUCCGUUCAAAACCUGAACUGAUCCUUGUAAGGAGGAAGUAAUUCUUCAGCCUGCUGAGCAAGACGUUUCAGCUGGCCCCAAGUUGGCACCAUGCUGGAGGUAGUUACUUGAAUACGACGACAGCGAUGAGAUGGAGCAGAAUAUGGUUGGACUCUAUCAGCAUGUCUUUCCUGAAAGUGCCAGGUCCAGACUCGACGAGCUUCUGAUCUCCCCAUCUUCCCUCGGUCCCGGACUCCAGGGCCCCAGGAAUCUCAGUGACCUCAGGGGUCUUCGUGAUCUUGGAGAUCUCAUGGGACUGGACAUGUCUAACCAGUAUGUCAGGAAUCCAAACAGAAGAAGUGGAAUCCUGUGGAAACACGCAAGCAUACCCUCUCCUGCAAGUUAACAGCACAUCUGGCCCUUUCCACUCUCCGGUGCAAUCUGGAGGAAUAUUUGGAGUCAAGAGUAGAGAAUGAGAAGG
rnacentral:lncRNA from 1 species